rnacentral:rRNA from 1 species
UACAGAGGUCUCAAGCGUUGUUCGGAUUCAUUGGGCGUAAAGGGCGCGUAGGCUGCGGGGCAAGUCGGGUGUGAAAUCUCAGAGCUCAACUCUGAAACUGCACUCGAUACUGCUUUGCUUGAGGACUGGAGAGGAGAUUGGAAUUCACGGUGUAGCAGUGAAAUGCGUAGAUAUUGGGAGGAACACCAGUGGCGAAGGCGGCUCGCUGGACCGGUUCUGACGCUGAUGCGCGAAAGCGUGGGGAGCAAACGGG